rnacentral:rRNA from 1 species
GACGAACGCUGGCGGCGUGCUUAACACAUGCAAGUCGAACGGAAAGGCCCUGCUUUUGUGGGGUGCUCGAGUGGCGAACGGGUGAGUAACACGUGAGUAACCUGCCCUUGACUUUGGGAUAACUUCAGGAAACUGGGUCUAAUACCGGAUAGGAGCUCCUGCUUCAUGGUGGGGGUUGGAAAGUUUCGGCGGUUGGGGAUGGACUCGCGGCUUAUCAGCUUGUUGGUGGGGUAGUGGCUUACCAAGGCUUUGACGGGUAGCCGGCCUGAGAGGGUGACCGGCCACAUUGGGACUGAGAUACGGCCCAGACUCCUACGGGAGGCAGCAGUGGGGAAUAUUGCACAAUGGGCGGAAGCCUGAUGCAGCAACGCCGCGUGCGGGAUGACGGCCUUCGGGUUGUAAACCGCUUUCGCCUGUGACGAAGCGUGAGUGACGGUAAUGGGUAAAGAAGCACCGGCUAACUACGUG